AGAGUUUGAUCAUGGCUCAGAAUGAACGCUGGCGGCGUGCCUAACACAUGCAAGUCGGAUGUGCCCGCAAGGGUGCAUGGCAGACGGGUGAGUAACGCGUGGGGAACCUACCUCUUUGUGGGGAAUAACGUUCCGAAAGGAAUGGUAAUACCGCAUGAGACCGAUGGCUGGGAUGCUGUCGGUGAAACCCGGGGACCGCAAGGCCUGGGGCAAGGAGAGGGUCCUGCGUCUGAUUAGCUAGUUGGCGGGGUAACGGCCCACCAAGGCGUCGAUCAGUAGCCGGCCUGAGAGGGUGAUCGGCCACACUGGAACUGAGACACGGUCCAGACUCCUACGGGAGGCAGCAGUGGGGAAUUUUGCGCAAUGGGCGAAAGCCUGACGCAGCAACGCCGCGUGGGUGAUGAAGGUCUUCGGAUCGUAAAACCCUGUCGUCAGGGACGAAGGUUGCAUGUCUAAUAGAUGUGUAACUUGACGGUACCUGGAGAGGAAGCCCCGGCUAACUCUGUGCCAGCAGCCGCGGUAAUACAGAGGGGGCAAGCGUUAUUCGGAAUUAUUGGGCGUAAAGGGCGCGUAGGCGGUGUCUUAAGUGAGAUGUGUAAUCCCCGAGCUUAACUUGGGAACUGCAUCUCAGACUGGGGCGCUAGAGUACUGGAGAGGGUGGUAGAAUUCCACGUGUAGCGGUGAAAUGCGUAGAGAUGUGGAGGAAUACCAGUGGCGAAGGCGGCCACCUGGACAGUAACUGACGCUGAAGCGCGAAAGUGUGGGGAGCAAACAGGAUUAGAUACCCUGGUAG
rnacentral:rRNA from 1 species